rnacentral:lncRNA from 1 species
UGGUGCUGAAAUCUUGCUGCCUGAGUAUUACAAAAAUGUCUGAUUGGAAAAAAGUCAAAAAGAAAUGACGCAGCCUCGACAAACAUUUUCUCAGUGUUAGUAACUAGUUUCUAGUCCUCUUCAUUUCAGGCACUUUGUGAAUUAAGGCUCUGUUUGAACUCUAAGUGAAGCUAGAGUAGGGCACAUUCUCAAACAUGGCGUCUUACGGCUGACAAGUCACUUGCCUUUUUAAUCUUUCAUUGUGAAGCACUUUGUGACCCCUGUUCUUGAGAGGUGCUAUGUAAAUAAACUUAACUUACUCACUCACUUUACUAGCUGCCUGAAAAGGACAUGGCAAAUACCCAAACAGUUGACUUGAAGAGUGAUUGUUGGGGGGUGCCAAAAUGUUGCGUUGCACACAUUUUUAAUGAAUUUUUAUUCAUAAAGCGCCCUAUCUGAAGACGCUUUCCAAAAGAGCAGGUCUUGGGAAAUCCCUACAAGUACAGGAUAGGGAAUCAGUAUUUUUAUGUUAGGAAACUCCAGUUUUACAUCACUCUAGAAUAACAUGACCUUCAUAUUUAAGUACCAUUCUUUAAAAUGUUCAUAUGGUAGCAGUAAAGUUGUCCUGUUUUAUUUGAGGAGAUGUUUCAUUUAUUUCAGUUGUUUAGGAAACAUUUCUUGAUUUAUUUUGCCGUUUUCUUGUCUCUUGUAUAAAAGUUUGCAUCUGGGUCCCCUUUCCCUCAUCAAACUGCAACUGGUACUGUUUUUGUAUGUAGUUCAGAUAUCUAAGUCUUUCUUUAUGAUAUGAAAACUGCAUCUGGGUCCACUUUUCUAAAUUAAGCUGUACCUGGUACUGUUUUUAUAUUUAGUUCAGAUAUAAAUAGUAUGUUUGCAUCUUGGUCUUCUUCCUGUCUUGAGUCUGUCUGCCCUUUUCUGUUUUCAGUCCUGUUUUAAUACAAGGUCUGUAUUGGGGUUCUUCUUUGUGUUUAGUCCAGAUACAGUAUGAAUCUACCUUCAUAACAUGAGGUCUGCAUGAGGAUCUUCUUCACCGUAUUAAGUCUGCAUACAGGUACUACUAUUUUGUAUGUAGUCCAGAUUAAAGUCCUUCUUUUUGGUAGGAGGUCUGCAUUCGGGUCCUUCUUGUAUUUAGUCCAGAUUUAAGCCCCCUUACUUGGUGUGAAAACUGUAUCUGAUUCCUUUUCUGUGUCUUGGUCCUCUCAGUCGUUAAUUAAAUCCUAAUUUGAUAAAGAGAAACCACAUUUUAAAGAGGACAAAGCCAAUUAUAAGAAUGUCUUAGAUAUACAAGAAAACAAAAUCAUGCAUAUUUGAUGCAAAGUGUGAACAUCCCUGACAAUCGAAAAUCAAGAUUUGCCUUUCAUUAUAAGGGGAUAUUGAAUAAUUUAACUCCUGCCCUUCUCAGUCUGAUAGCAUAUCUCUGUGCUGCUGCUGCUGCUGCUGCUCAGCCUUCACUCUGGGCCUGUGAUUAAAAUAAGACCGAAUGCCUGUAGUAACCUUGGAAAAUAAUUGGGUUAUUUUUCAGUGUGUGCGAAAGAAAGUGAAUUGUAAUAAUCUAUUUCACGCAACCCCAUCCCCCCACCCCCAUCCCCAUUUAUUUUCACUCCCUUUAGUUUCAUCAAGAAAUAACAUCCACUCACUGGCAGAAAUUUGCACUGAGAAGUAAUGUCCUCUCAAAAACUAUCCUUAAGCACUGGGAGAUUUGAUACCUCCAUAAAAGCAGAGUAUUUUAUGUGAAUUCAUCCACUCUGUUUCAGUGAGGUGACAAAAUAAACCAGCUCUUCUCUUGGCUCUGGGCCUGUCCUGGAAGUCGUUUAGCAUGCUGUCUGUAGCCCGAGUACAAGUCUAGAAACCGUGUUGUGUUUGUCUCUUGGGCCGCUGUCUCUGCCCCUUCACUUGGCAGCGGUGGACUGGGUGGGGUUUAGCUGCCACCGUGGAGCACCGGGCAUGCUCCUGGCUGCUAUUAGAGUUCAGUGUUCCAGCGAGCGGGCAUGAGGAGAAUGGACACAGAAUAAUGUAUGAAGGGCUUCAGAGCCGCCGCGGGUUAAAGUGCUGCAGAGUGUGGCUGACUGACUGACUGAGAGCGUUUGGGUAUGUGUGUGUGUGUGUGUCUAUGUGUAGGUUUGAGGUGGGCAUAAUAAAUUCACACAGACGGGAUUUCAAAUGGCAAAGUCUUUUUAUUUUUUAAAAAGAAGAGAGUGGGUGGUCCAUCUCAGACUGUCAUGCAUUUCUUUUUUCAUUUUCAGAAGGCUUCACAGAUAGCACAGCUUGCAAUUUAGAUGAACAGAUUUUGAGUCCAUUUGAAAGAGCGUGCGUUUGUUUUUAUAAUUGUCCC